GUGGGGAAUAUUGGGCAAUGGGGGAAACCCUGACCCAGCGACGCCGCGUGAGGGAAGAAGGCCUUAGGGUCGUAAACCUCUGUUGUGUGGGAAGAAGAGCGUGACGGUACCACACGAGGAAGUCCCGGCUAACUACGUGCCAGCAGCCGCGGUAAUACGUAGGGGACGAGCGUUGUCCGGAUUUACUGGGCGUAAAGGGCGCGUAGGCGGUCAUUUAAGUCAGCUGUGAAAUGGUGCGGCUUAACCGCAUCAUGCGGUUGAAACUGGAUGACUGGAGUGCUGGAGAGGAAAGUGGAAUUCCCAGUGUAGCGGUGAAAUGCGUAGAUAUUGGGAAGAACACCGGUGGCGAAGGCGACUUGCUGGCCAGCAACUGACGCUGAGGCGCGAAAGCCAGGGGAGCAAACGGGAUUAGAUACCCUGGUAGUCC
rnacentral:rRNA from 1 species